GAAAUCGGGGUCUUUCCAACGCGCAGCCUUGCACUUGACUGUUUUUACUAAAAUGCUUUAGUAUAUAAAAUGGCACCCACUGCAUUCAAGUUAUCAUUCAAUCACCAUCUCCUGUUUUCAGUAGUUCAACUAAAAUAAACAACAAACAUCAAAAUGCCUGCCCCUUGUGAACCCUGCAAAGAUUCUUGCAAGGAUGGUGAUGCGAACUGCCAGGACAAUUGCAGCUGUGAACCCAACUGCUCCGACUGCUCCUCUACAAAAGGCGGUUGCUGUUAACCUUGCUGCGUGACUUCAUGGGCUUUGAAUAUUUAACAAUUUACUAUGUUAAUGAUUUGAAUUAUAUUUUGAUCAUGUAAUAAAUAAUAUUGUUAAUA